UACGAAGGGGGGCUAGCGUUGCUCGGAAUGACUGGGCGUAAAGCGUGCGUAGGCGGUUCGUUAAGUCUGUUGUGAAAGCCCCGGGCUCAACCUGGGAAUGGCAAUGGAUACUGGCGAGCUAGAGUGUGUCAGAGGAUGGUGGAAUUCCCGGUGUAGCGGUGAAAUGCGUAGAGAUCGGGAGGAACAUCAGUGGCGAAGGCGGCCAUCUGGGACAACACUGACGCUGAGGCACGAAAGCGUGGGGAGCAAACAGG
rnacentral:rRNA from 1 species